CCCAGACUCCUACGGGAGGCAGCAGUGAGGAAUAUUGGUCAAUGGGCUUACGCCUGAACCAGCCAAGUCGCGUGAGGGAAGACUGCCCUAUGGGUUGUAAACCUCUUUUGUCAGGGAGCAACGCCGGCUACGUGUAGCCGGACUGAGAGUACCUGAAGAAAAAGCAUCGGCUAACUACGUGCCAGCAGCCGCGGUAAUACGUAGGUGGCGAGCGUUAUCCGGAAUGAUUGGGCGUAAAGGGUGCGCAGGCGGUCCUGCAAGUCUGGAGUGAAACGCAUGAGCUCAACUCAUGCAUGGCUUUGGAAACUGGAGGACUGGAGAGCAGGAGAGGGCGGUGGAACUCCAUGUGUAGCGGUAAAAUGCGUAGAUAUAUGGAAGAACACCAGUGGCGAAGGCGGCCGCCUGGCCUGUUGCUGACGCUGAGGCACGAAAGCGUGGGGAGCAAAUAGGAUUAGAUACCCCAGUA
rnacentral:rRNA from 1 species